UAAUACGUAGGCAGCAAGCGUUGUUCGGAAUUACUGGGCGUAAAGAGUGCGUAGGCGGUUGGCUAAGUUUGGUGUGAAAUCUCCCGGCUCAACUGGGAGGGUGCGCCGAAAACUGGUCGGCUAGAGUGUGGGAGAGGUAAGUGGAAUUCCUGGUGUAGCGGUGAAAUGCGUAGAUAUCAGGAGGAACACCUGCGGUGUAGACGGCUUACUGGACCAUGACUGACGCUGAGGCACGAAAGCGUGGGGAGCAAACAGGAUUAGAUACCCUGGUAGUCCACGCCCUAAACGAUGCAAACUUGGUGUGCGCCCUUCAUUGGGUGCGUGCCGAAGCUAACGCGUUAAGUUUGCCGCCUGGGGAGUACGGUCGCAAGGCUGAAACUCAAAUGAAUUGACGG
rnacentral:rRNA from 1 species